UCAUGUGAGAACACAUCCCUUAUGUGAGAACACUUUAUAUGUGAGAAUAGUUUAUAACCAUUGGAUCAAACAAGAUCCAAUGCUCCACAUCUACCCCCGUCAAAAUAAUGACAUUAUUGUAGAUUAUAGAUUGUAUAUAAGAAAAAUUAAAAAAAAAUGUCUAGCUUUUUCUCUCUCUAGGUAUUGAUCUAGGUCUUACCUUUCUCUCUCUUCUUUCCCCAAAAAUUUCUGAACGAACACUGCUUUGAUCGUAAUGCUGAGAUAUCUUUGAAUUUCGACUUGAAUCUACAACUAUAGUUAGAAAUCGCGAAUUCUUCAUCAAAUGGAUUCAACCGAAGCUAUUGUUACUUAUGAACGAAUGAUGCACAUGGGUAUCAUGAAAUGCAUAACUCCACAAGCACAAAAACCUUAUUGACUGAAGAGUCUGAGUAAUGCUGGAAAAACCUCUGUGAAGUUCGCUCUGUUGUUGUUUUAAAUGUAAUUGGGAGGAUUGAAUUGGCUUCUUUGGAUAAAGUUCAGUGGCUCCUGGUAAAUUUAGUUAGCAGAAACUGAAUUCUUCCUUAUCUUUUUCAUAACCUAUUCUUCUUGAUUACUAGUUAUACGGAGUUUUGAUUGAGCUAGAUGUUGUAACAUGUUCUAUUAACAAGCUAGAUGUUGGAAUAUUCCCUAUGAAUUACUACACUAGUACAGAAAAUUGCACAAACUGAGUGCACUCAUUG